rnacentral:rRNA from 1 species
GACGAACGCUGGCGGCGUGCUUAACACAUGCAAGUCGAACGGAAAGGCCCUGCUUUUGUGGGGUGCUCGAGUGGCGAACGGGUGAGUAACACGUGAGUAACCUGCCCUUGACUUUGGGAUAACUUCAGGAAACUGGGGCUAAUACCGGAUAGGAGCUCCUGCUGCAUGGUGGGGGUUGGAAAGUUUCGGCGGUUGGGGAUGGACUCGCGGCUUAUCAGCUUGUUGGUGGGGUAGUGGCUUACCAAGGCUUUGACGGGUAGCCGGCCUGAGAGGGUGACCGGCCACAUUAGGACGGAGAUACGGCCCAGACUCCUACGGGAGGCAGCAGUGGGAAAUAUUGCACAAUAGGCGGAAGCCUGAUGCAGCAACGCCGCGUGCGGGAUGACGGCCUUCGGGUUGUAAACCGCUUUCGCCUGUGACAAGGCGUGAGUGACGGUAAUGGGUAAAGAAGCACCGGCUAACUACGUG